rnacentral:rRNA from 1 species
GAUGAACGCUGGCGGCGUGCCUAAUACAUGCAAGUCGAGCGAACAGACGAGGAGCUUGCUCCUCUGACGUUAGCGGCGGACGGGUGAGUAACACGUGGAUAACCUACCUAUAAGACUGGGAUAACUUCGGGAAACCGGAGCUAAUACCGGAUAAUAUAUUGAACCGCAUGGUUCAAUAGUGAAAGACGGUUUUGCUGUCACUUAUAGAUGGAUCCGCGCCGCAUUAGCUAGUUGGUAAGGUAACGGCUUACCAAGGCAACGAUGCGUAGCCGACCUGAGAGGGGGAUCGGCCACACUGGAACUGAGACACGGUCCAGACUACUAAGGGAGGCAGCAGUAGGGAAUCUUCCGCAAUGGGCGAAAGCCUGACGGAGCAACGCCGCGUGAGUGAUGAAGGUCUUCGGAGCGUAAAACUCUGUUAUUAGGGAAGAACAAAUGUGUAAGUAACUAUGCACGUCUUGACGGUACCUAAUCAGAAAGCCACGGCUAACUACGUG